AUCUUGCUGGGGAUCCCUGCCUACCUGAGGCUGUCCAAAGGAGUGGAGGGAAGAAGGGACUCAACUGAAUAAAGCCAUAAGGUAUAGUGCUGGGACGGACAGAAAAACGUGAGAACCUCCAUGUUCAGCUCCCACAAAUCACCAGAGGGGCCAUCAGGACUGUACAGAUGUGCUUUUGUGUGCCACAGGCUGCAGGACUUCCCUCAGGUCAAAAAACGUGCUUGAUACUUAGGCCAUUCUGGGGUCAGAAGAGAGACAACAUCUGGUAUAAAAUAAUGGAAAUACCUCAUCUACUGGGUUGUACUCCUUUUCCCUUAGUGGUUACUUCUGAGAGCAGGAGAUGGCUAUAAUUUCAGGAUUAUUCUCCUCAGUGCUGUCACUUGGAAUAGCCUGCGUUUCCAAACGUCGUUCUCAGAUUGAAGUGAUGCACAGGAGACAGAGGGAGGCCAGAUUAUCAUAACAUUGGCUUCCAGCAAAGCUUCAACAGCACAGCCUCCUCCUGUCCCACCGGCUGGCUUGGCCACAGAAGAGUCAACCUUGAGUGGACCUGAAUGUGAAGAGCCUGUGUAUUCCUUCUCCUAUUCACAGAUAAACUGAAAGUUUGACCCAACUCAUUGGAAGAGAAGUGGCAGAUGGAUGAUGCACGUACAGGCAAUUACUAUAACGACAGCCAUUACCCUAUCAGUGAUGGAAAGAUGUAUUCCUAGGGAGAAAAAGGGAGAGAUGUGAAGUGAGUUGUUGAGACGAGGGUGUAUAUUUGGAUAAUGUUUUGUCAGGAUGAAUUCAGAGUCAUACAAGUGCACGCAGCAUCUUAAAGCUGGAACUUUGUCUAAAGACUAGGCAUGCUGAUUUGCUGCAUUUUAGCAGUGGUAUCAAGAUAAAAUGCAAUUUAAGUAAUAUAAUGUAUUGAAUCCAAGCAGCGUUAUUUUACUAAUUCAAAGACAAGGUUGAUUUCAGGUCUCCUACCAGUCAUCUUUUCUCACAUCAGGACACUGUGUUAUUCUUAACCAAUCAACAACUUAUUCAUUCAUCUAGAAACACAUGUAUGUAUAAUCAACCUUUCAUCAGGAUCCAAUUACACUCCACGAAAUAUUUUCAGUGAAUACUAAAUUUACUG
ensembl:lncRNA